GAAAAAAUUGGAAUGAUACAGAGAAGAUUAGCAUGGCCCCUGUGCAAGGAUGACACGCAAAUUCAUGAAGCAUUCCAUAUUAAA
ensembl:snRNA U6 U6 spliceosomal RNA